AGCCCAAUAGCCCGCAGUGGAAGCGUGCUGGGCCCAUAACCCAGAGGUCGGUGGAUCGAAACCACUCGCUGCUA